rnacentral:snoRNA from 1 species
AAGGGUCAAGUGAUGAUUGAUAACGCAUAGUUCAGAUGAUAAAAAUCUUACAUGAUUACAUCUAUUCAGCAUAGUCUUUCGCUCCUAUCUGAUGAUCCUU